rnacentral:rRNA from 1 species
AUUAGCUAGUUGGUGAGGUAAAGGCUCACCAAGGCGACGAUCCUUAGCUGGUCUGAGAGGAUGACCCCCCACACUGGUACUGAGACACGGACCAGACUCCUACGGGAGGCAGCAGUAAGGAAUAUUGGUCAAUGGGCGGAAGCCUGAACCAGCCAUGCCGCGUGCAGGAAGACGGCCCUACGGGUUGUAAACUGCUUUUGCAGGGGAAUAAACCUUCGUAUGUAUACGAAGCUGAAUGUACUCUGAGAAUAAGGAUCGGCUAACUCCGUGCCAGCAGCCGCGGUAAUACGGAGGAUCCAAGCGUUAUCCGGAUUUAUUGGGUUUAAAGGGUGCGUAGGUGGUUUUUUAAGUCAGGGGUGAAAGACGGCAGCUUAACUGUCGCAGUGCCUUUGAUACUGAAGAACUUGAAUUAACUAGAGGUAGGCGGAAUGUGACAAGUAGCGGUGAAAUGCAUAGAUAUGUCACAGAACACCAAUUGCGAAGGCAGCUUACUAUGGUUAUAUUGACACUGAGGCACGAAAGCGUGGGGAUCAAACAGGAUUAGAUACCCUGGUAGUCCACGCCCUAAACGAUGAAUACUCGAUGUUGGCGAUAUACGGUCAGCGUCUAAGCGAAAGCGUUAAGUAUUCCACCUGGGGAGUACGCCCCGCAAGGGUGAAACUUAAAGGAAUUGACGGAA